AAUGGCAAAUGAUGAAUAAUCUUUUCCGCUUAUUGAUAUACUGAAUCUUCUGUGUUGACAUAAACUCCGCUUAUUAUCUGAUGCCAUU